rnacentral:lncRNA from 1 species
GCCCGGAAAGGGUGGAGCACAACGUCGAAAGCAGCCGUUGGGAGCCCAGGAGGCGGGGCGCCUGUGGGAGCCGUGGAGGGAACUUUCCCAGUCCCCGAGGCGGAUCCGGUGUUGCAUCCUUGGAGCGAGCUGAGAGCUCGAGUACAGAACCUGCUAAGGCCAUCAAACCUAUUGAUCGGAAGUCAGUCCAUCAGAUUUGCUCUGGGCCGGUGGUACCGAGUCUAAGCACUGCGGUGAAGGAGUUAGUAGAAAACAGUCUGGAUGCUGGUGCCACUAAUAUUGAUCUAAAGCUUAAGGACUAUGGAGUGGAUCUCAUUGAAGUUUCAGGCAAUGGAUGUGGGGUAGAAGAAGAAAACUUCGAAGGCUUAACUCUGAAACAUCACACAUCUAAGAUUCAAGAGUUUGCCGACCUACCUCAGGUUGAAACUUUUGGCUUUCGGGGGGAAGCUCUGAGCUCACUUUGUGCACUGAGGUGAUAAAAUAUUUUUAUCCAUUCACUUGACCCCUUAGAAAAACCUCUCUGAAAAUUAAUUGGAAUCAUUAUUAUUUACAGUUUUCUGUCUCAAUAUCUCAGCUUCCAGCUUCUGAAUUCUGUUUUGUCUCACUGCCAAUCUAAGUCCUAGUACUUCUGAAAUGUGAGCAAUAAAUGAAUGAAAUGAAGCAAAUAGUAUUGUUAAAAAAAUUGGUUACCCUUAUUAAAACAGUAACUUCUCAAUUUGAACAUAACAUAUAGAUAAUAAAUGAUAGUUACCAUUGG